rnacentral:lncRNA from 1 species
UUUAUCCCAAAAUAACAAAGUUGAAGUUGAAAUAUUAUAAGAGAUUGCGUUAUCUUUUUCUUGAAUGGACGUAAGGAAGAUUAAAUCUUUAUUCUACAAAAAUAAUUUAAUAAUUCUCUUUAGUUUUGGAGUGAAAGUUUUUCCUUUUAAUUUUCCUUACUUGGAUAACAUUUUACAUCAAUAUCCAAUUUUUCUACAUUCUACACACGCAAUCUCUUCUUUUUCCUUCGCACAUUAUUCAUCAAAUCAAACUAAAAGUUUAUUUGGCCCCUUAAUCACAUAUAUAAUUAAGAGGAAUGAGAUGUGUAUAUAUAUAGUACUAGCUUAGGAGGUAGAUCAAUUGUGUGGUGGUUCAUCACAGAAUUUGCACUGACAUUUUCUGAAAAAUAAUCCACACUGUCCGGAAAUCGCAUUUUCCAUGGUUCGACAAUGAUGGUGGCAAAUUGAAGAGUGGAAGCAUCUUGCAUGCGCCCACGUGUUACUGUUACGCCAACAAUUCUGCUUUGGUUCUAUCUUCUCUUCCGAAGCUGCAUGCCAACAAGUAUAUAUAUAUAUAUUAAAUUAUUAAAUAAAAUUCCACACU